AAACUUUAACAUUGCAAGUGAUAAUUAGAAAACUGUCUCGAUCAAUCUAGUUGCUUUGUAGUCACUGGAGUACCAAUGGCUUCACUAAAUUCAACUUCCCAAGAAAACAUUUUAGACUGCGAAAAUGGUGUUUCCACUACACCCACACACACAUACGACAAAUGGAUUACAGUAGUUGCAGUAGCCUUAUUAAUAGGAAUUUUUGUCGGACUACUCUGCUACUACUGGACAAAUUCAUCCACGGAUCAAGAUGACAACGUCGGAAAAGAACUAAUAAUAUACUUUCUACACAGAUUCAUCAAAGCACUAGUUUAAUUAAUAAGGCAUAUUUGUUUUGUUGUUUUAUUAUAUUAAAAUUUCUUGUUUUCUGGUUUUUUAAAAAAUAAAUCCUUUCAGUAAUGUAGAAAAAACACCAUGCGUCAUGGGGCUUUACAAAAAUUUGUGCUGAUAGUGUGGACACCAUUCUCCACAGACGAGCAGAAAACCGUAGUUAGUCGAACAGAAAAGACGUGUAUGGUGUUCGAAGCCACUUACGUUUUAAAACUGUUUCAGAGUCUGGCAACUCUCGUCCACCCCAGUGCACAUGCGAAAACUCCAUGAAAAUAUUUGUAAUAAUCGCAAUUGUUGCAUUAGUAGCUAUUAAUUGUUAUUAUUUUAUUAUCACGGAACUGUAAUAAAGAAUAAAUUUUACAAUACAUUAUAACAAUAUUUAAUACAUACUUAGGUUAAAUGUACGCAUCCAAUCGACUUUUAAGCAUGUACGCUGUCGGAGCCAUUGUUAUAGUGUGUUCUGGAACUAUUCUUGUGAUGAUGUUAAUAAGAAAUAAAGAAGUUAAAGGCAAUGGAUAAAACCAAGCCUGACAAAAACGUCAGUAGCUGACGACACUCUUAUAACUGGAGGAUCAUCAUUGAGAAGGACAAAUGGGGUGGACGAGCGUCUUUGAAUUGGUCUACACCUCUCAUUCUUGAACAUCCAACAAAUUUUGUUAUUACAAUGCAUACUGUUACUCCACAGUGUCACACUUUUCA